UACGUAGGGGGCGAGCGUUGUCCGGAUUCAUUGGGCGUAAAGAGCUCGUAGGCGGCUUGGCAAGUCGGGUGUGAAACCUCCAGGCUCAACCUGGAGACGCCACCCGAUACUGCUAUGGCUAGAGUCCGGUAGGGGACCACGGAAUUCCUGGCGUAGCGGUGAAAUGCGCAGAUAUCAGGAGGAACACCGGUGGCGAAGGCGGUGGUCUGGGCCGGCACUGACGCUGAGGAGCGAAAGCGUGGGGAGCGAACAGG
rnacentral:rRNA from 1 species